GGUUCACUAGUGUGGUGUGAGCACGUCUGCUUUACACACAGAAGGCCCUGGGUUCAUGUCCCAGGGGAGCCA
rnacentral:tRNA from 1 species